rnacentral:rRNA from 1 species
AACGGAAAGGCCCUGCUUGCAGGGUACUCGAGUGGCGAACGGGUGAGUAACACGUGGGUGAUCUGCCCUGCACUUCGGGAUAAGCCUGGGAAACUGGGUCUAAUACCGGAUAGGACCAUCGUUUAGUGUCGGUGGUGGAAAGUUUUUCGGUGCAGGAUGAGCUCGCGGCCUAUCAGCUUGUUGGUGGGGUAAUGGCCUACCAAGGCGUCGACGGGUAGCCGGCCUGAGAGGGUGGACGGCCACAUUGGGACUGAGACACGGCCCAGACUCCUACGGGAGGCAGCAGUGGGGAAUAUUGCACAAUGGGCGCAAGCCUGAUGCAGCGACGCCGCGUGGGGGAUGAAGGCCUUCGGGUUGUAAACUCCUUUCAACCAUGACGAAGCGUAAGUGACGGUAGUGGUAGAAGAAGCACCGGCUAACUACGUGCCAGCAGCCGCGGUAAUACGUAGGGUGCGAGCGUUGUCCGGAAUUACUGGGCGUAAAGAGCUCGUAGGUGGUUUGUCGCGUCGUCUGUGAAAUUCCGGGGCUUAACUCCGGGCGUGCAGGCGAUACGGGCAUAACUUGAGUGCUGUAGGGGAGACUGGAAUUCCUGGUGUAGCGGUGAAAUGCGCA